UACGGGAGGCAGCAGUGGGGAAUUUUGGACAAUGGGCGCAAGCCUGAUCCAGCCAUGCCGCGUGCAGGAUGAAGGCNUUCGGGUUGUAAACUGCUUUUGUACGGAACGAAAAGACUCCUUCUAAUAAAGGGGGUCCAUGACGGUACCGUAAGAAUAAGCACCGGCUACUACGUGCCAGCAGCCGCGGUAAUACGUAGGGUGCGAGCGUUAAUCGGAAUUACUGGGCGUAAAGCGUGCGCAGGCGGUUAUAUAAGACAGAUGUGAAAUCCCCGGGCUCAACCUGGGAACUGCAUUUGUGACUGCAUAGCUAGAGUACGGCAGAGGGGGAUGGAAUUCCGCGUGUAGCAGUGAAAUGCGUAGAUAUGCGGAGGAACACCGACGGCGAAGGCAAUCCCCUGGGCCUGUACUGACGCUCAUGCACGAAAGCGUGGGGAGCAAACAGGAUUAGAUACCCUGGUAGUCCACGCCCUAAACGAUGUCAACUGGUUGUUGGGAAUUCACUUUCUCAGUAACGAAGCUAACGCGUGAAGUUGACCGCCUGGGGAGUACGGCCGCAAGGUUGAAACUCAAAUGAAUUGACGG
rnacentral:rRNA from 1 species